rnacentral:rRNA from 1 species
GGUGAACGCUGGCGGCGUGCCUAACACAUGCAAGUCGAUCGGAGCAGCAAUGCUUAGAGGCGAACGGGUGAGGAAAACGUAGUAACCAACCCUUUAGACUGGGAUAGCCACUGGAAACGGUGGGUAAUACCGGAUAAGCUCGAGAGAGGAAAGGCAGAGAAGCGCUAAGGACGAACCUGCGCCCAUCAGAUAGUUGGUGAGGUAAAGGCUUACCAAGUCAAAGACGGGAAACCGACGUGAGAGCGUGUACGGUCACAAGGGCACUGAGAGACGGGCCCUACUCCUACGGGAGGCAGCAGUGGGGAAUAUUGGACAAUGGACGAAAGUCUGAUCCAGCGACGCCGCGUGGAGGAAGAAGUCCUUCGGGAUGUAAACUCAUGAAGCUAACGAAUAAGACGGAAGGGGAACCUUCCGGGAGAAGGUAAUUAGUGAAAAGCCCCGGCUAACUACGUG